GUUCACAUGGAGCAUGCGCUUGCCUCCCGUGCCUGUGACCGUACCGAUCACAAAGGUGGUAUCACAAACCUGCUCUACCACCUUGUAUGGGCCCUGCCAGGAAGUCUGCAGCUUGUCCUUGUGGACAGUGUCAAUCCAUAUCUGCCAAGUGAUCCUAUGUAGGGGGAACAGUCCCUAUUCUGAUCUGUGUCAGUGUGUAUCAGGGGCUCUGAGGACAGGUGUCAAUCCAUAUCUGCCAAGUGACCCUAUGUAGGAGGAACAGUCC